ensembl:lncRNA
GGUAUACGCUGUUAACAGGGACAAUUACUUAAAGGGAAGCGUUUAUAAAAUGGAAAACAAAUGCCGGGCCCAACUAAUGGAUUCCUGGCGCUCUGAGGACCCACUCCCGGGAGCGACUUUGAUGUAUUGCUGUCCAAUUAGUGCCUUUAAUUGGUGUCCUUAGGGACAAGCUGGCCCGGAGCUGGGACACAGCCUCCUCUCGCCUCUCCUGCACACUGGAAAGUACUGGAGAAGACUCUUGUGAGUCCCUUGGACAGCAAGGAAAUGAAACAACUCAAUCCUAAAGGAAAUCAACCCUGAAUCUUCGUUGGAAGGACUGAUGCUGAAGCUGAAGCUCCAAUACUUUGGCCACCUGAUGUGAAGAGCUGACUCAUUGGAAAAAACCCUGAUGCUGGGAAAGAUUGAAGGCAGGAGGAGAAGGAGGUUACAGAGGAUGAGAUGGUUGAAUGGCAUCACCAAUUCAAUGGACAUGUGUCUGAGCAGACUCCAGGAGAUGGUAAAGGACAGGGAAACCUGGCAUGCUGCAGUCCAUGGUGUUGCAAAGAGUCAGACAUGACUGAGCAACUGAAGAGCAACAUAGGGUAGAGAGAUUGGAGCAUGCAGGGAAAAGGAAUCAGAAGUAGAGAUCUUUGAGAUGGUGGGAAAGUCAGUGAGGAUGAAUACCGCAGAAGCAGUUCCUUGAUGGAGAGUACUUUCAAGGGAGCAGAGAGAAGGUCCUGAGAUUUGACAGCCAAUGAAAGGUAAACAGUGGUUUCAGAAGUUAAAGUUCCACUCUUAACUAAUUUCUCCAAAAUAUCACUUUCUGAGUCCACCAUACAGGGAACUCAGCUGCUGGGUGGGGACUCUUUAAGCUUCUGACUGAUGGAUAUCUGGGCUCAAGAUGGCGAUGGGCAAACCCUAGGUUGAGGUUUUCCUUAAAAUCAGCAGUAACUGUGGCUCCUACAUUACUCUGCCUUCACUUGGAAAGUCCAGUGACCAGACUUGUGGUGCUAGGCUUCGAGGUUGAAUACCUAACCUUUAUUGAGUUCUUGGGCUUCCCUGGUGGCUUAGCCAGUAAAGAGUCCACCUGCAAUGAGGAAAGGUUGGGAAGAUCCCCUGGAGGAGGAUCCCUCUCCAACCCACUCCAGUAUUCUUGCCUGGAGAAUCCCCAAGGACAGAGGAGCCUGGUAGGCUAUAGUCCAUUGAGUACUUGGUCUCAUGCACUUACUGUUCUAUGCUUUCUAUGCAUUAUUUAAUUA